rnacentral:rRNA from 1 species
UACGGGAGGCAGCAGGGGGAAUAUUGCACAAUGGGCGCAAGCCUGAUGCAGCCAUGCCGCGUGUAUGAAGAAGGCCUUCGGGUUGUAAAGUACUUUCAGUCGUGAGGAAGGUGUUAAGGUUAAUAACCUUAGCAAUUGACGUUAGCGACAGAAGAAGCACCGGCUAACUCCGUGCCAGCAGCCGCGGUAAUACGGAGGGUGCGAGCGUUAAUCGGAAUUACUGGGCGUAAAGGGCACGCAGGCGGUUAAUUAAGUUGGAUGUGAAAUCCCCGGGCUUAACCUGGGAAUGGCAUUCAAGACUGGUUAGCUAGAGUCUUGUAGAGGGGGUAGAAUUCCAUGUGUAGCGGUGAAAUGCGUAGAGAUGUGGAGGAAUACCGGUGGCGAAGGCGGCCCCUGGACAAAGGCUGACGCUCAUGUGCGAAAGCGUGGGGAGCAAAC